CGCGGUCCUCGGUAGUGACCUCCGGACGAUUCUGAAAAGAGUUCCGUGGGUCUCGAUCGAAGGCCGGG
rfam:Arthrobacter sp. IHBB 11108, complete genome.